CCUUUAAAUCAUCAACUCUUAGAACUUUCAAGACAAUUCAAGAAAGAAGAAAAAAAAACAAAGGAAAAGAAAAUAAGGGGAAAAUCGAUCAAGGAAAAAAAAAUAGGGAGAAAAUUGAAAUCUUGCUCCAAAAAUUAUUUUCUCCUAGUAUUCUUACUAAGUCAAGGGUGCUCUACAACAUGGUGUAGUUGUUUUGGAAGUUUGGAGACUUGUUUAGUUGAUUUGGAGAUUUGGGGAAGUGAAAGAAAAGGUACCGAAGUUCGAUUUGCUGAUCCAUCUGUUUAGGAUAUUUGCUGCGUCAUUGACAGUGCUCCCUUGUUCGGAGCUUGUAUUUUGGUACUGACUUUAUCUCUGCAUAUUUGGAUAUUUUGGUCAGGGGUACGACGGGGCUCUGUCCCGUCAUAUGACUAUGCUAUCAUCUGUAGAGGUUUGUAGACAGAUUUAUGUUGUGGGUUUUGUAUAUAUGGUUUGGGUUUUGUGUGUU